rnacentral:rRNA from 1 species
AUGGAGGUGGAGGCGUUGGAUGGCAGCGACGGCGACAGCAGGUGGUCUAAGCUGGGAACGACGCUUCCUGUCAGGAACGUCCAGGCCCUGGCGGCGGUCGCUGCCGGCGAGCUGACGGGAGACGCGAUCGAACGGUACAUCCAGCCGGACAUCGACGCCGAUGCGGUCAUCCCCACGCACUCCGACGAGGUUCCGGUGAUCGACCUCGGCAAGCUCACGGGCGCUGAGUCCAUGGAAGCAGAGACCGCCAAGCUCAGAUUUGCCUGCGAGGAGUGGGGCUUCUUUCAGCUUGUAAAUCAUGGAGUACCAGAUGAGAUCAUCCUGGCUAUAAGGCGUGACAUUGAAAAGUUCUUUCAGCUCCCCCUGGACGUGAAGAAUGCUUACGCUCAACGCCAAGGAGAUCUUCAAGGUUAUGGCCAAGCCUUUAUUCUCUCCCAUGAUCAAAAGCUAGAUUGGGCUGACAUGUUUGGGCUCUACACACAGCCACCUCAGGCCCGUGAUAUGAGUUUCUGGCCGAGUCAACCUCCUAUGUUCAGGAUGAACUACUACCCGCCAUGCACGUCGAUGCCCGAAAAGGUUUUAGGCUUGUCUCCACAUUCAGAUGGAUCUUUCCUAACUAUCCUACUAGAAGUUAAUUCAGUUCAAGGCCUACAAAUUAGGAGACGUGGUGCAUGGCUCCCAGUGAAACCACUGGCCAAUGCAUUGUUGCUGAAUGUGGGUGACCUUCUCGAGGUUGUAAUAAGCAAAAGAGUACUUUGCCAAGGUAACAUGGUUCUGCUUCUAUAUUUUCUAUCAAUUCCCUCCAAGAAAUCUUAG